rnacentral:rRNA from 1 species
CAGCCGCCGCGGUAAUACGUAGGUGGCAAGCGUUGUCCGGAAUUAUUGGGCGUAAAGGGCUCGCAGACGGUUUCUUAAGUCUGAUGUGAAAGCCCCCGGCUCAACCGGGGAGGGUCAUUGGAAACUGGGAAACUUGAGUGCAGAAGAGGAGAGUGGAAUUCCACGUGUAGCGGUGAAAUGCGUGGAGAUGUGGAGGAACACCAGUGGCGAAGGCGUCUCUCUGGUCUGUAACUGACGCUGAGGAGCGAAAGCGUGGGGAGCGAACAGGAUUAGAUACCCCUGUAGUCCCUGUCUCUUAUAC